rnacentral:rRNA from 1 species
GCCGCGUGAGUGAAGAAGGUUUUCGGAUCGUAAAACUCUGUUGUUAGGGAAGAACAAGUAUCGUUCGAAUAGGGCGGUACCUUGACGGUACCUAACCAGAAAGCCACGGCUAACUACGUGCCAGCAGCCGCGGUAAUACGUAGGUGGCAAGCGUUGUCCGGAAUUAUUGGGCGUAAAGCGCGCGCAGGCGGUUCCUUAAGUCUGAUGUGAAAGCCCACGGCUCAACCGUGGAGGGUCAUUGGAAACUGGGGAACUUGAGUGCAGAAGAGGAGAGUGGAAUUCCACGUGUAGCGGUGAAAUGCGUAGAGAUGUGGAGGAACACCAGUGGCGAAGGCGACUCUCUGGUCUGUAACUGACGCUGAGGUGCGAAAGCGUGGGGAGCGAACAGGAUUAGAUACCCUGGUAGUCCACGCCGUAAACGAUGAGUGCUAAGUGUUAGAGGGUUUCCGCCCUUUAGUGCUGCAGCUAACGCAUUAAGCACUCCGCCUGGGGAGUACGACCGCAAGGUUGAAACUCAAAGGAAUUGACGGGGGCCCGCACAAGCGGUGGAGCAUGUGGUUUAAUUCGAAGCAACGCGAAGAACCUUACCAGGUCUUGACAUCCUCUGCCAACCCUAGAGAUAGGGCGUUCCCCUUCGGGGGACAGAGUGACAGGUGGUGCAUGGUUGUCGUCAGCUCGUGUCGUGAGAUGUUGGGUUAAGUCCCGCAACGAGCGCAACCCUUGAUCUUAGUUGCCAGCAUUAAGUUGGGCACUCUAAGGUGACUGCCGGUGACAAACCGGAGGAA